AGAGAGAGACAUGCGCGCAUAUCAAUAAGCGGAGGAAAAGGAAACUAACUAGGAUUCCCUUAGUAACGGCGAGUGAAGCGGGAAGAGCUCAAAUUUGAAAUCUUCAAGGUUCUACCUUGACGAAUUGUAGUUUAAAGAAGUGUUUUCUGUUGGAGUUUUGGUAAAAGUUCUUUGGAAUAGGACAUCAUAGAGGGUGAGAAUCCCGUAUUUGACCAUUAUUUCCAACUUUGUGAUACACUUUCAAAGAGUCGGAUUGUUUGGGAAUGCAGUCCAAAAUGGGUGGUAAAUUUCAUCUAAAGCUAAAUAUUGGCGAGAGACCGAUAGCGAACAAGUACCGUGAGGGAAAGAUGAAAAGAACUUUGAAAAGAGAGUUAAACAGUACGUGAAAUUGUCAAAAGGGAAGCGUUUGACACCAGUGUUGUUUUCUCGAAAAUCAAUUAAAAAAUGGCUGGAUUUUGUGUUGUAUUGACUUUAUCAGCUUUCUGCACUCUUUUCUUGUCUUUUUUAAUGCACUUUUCGUUUAACAAGUCAACAUCAAUUUCUUUUGUUGUAAAAGAGUCAUUGGAAGGUGGCUUUCCUUUCGGAGAAAGUGUUUAUAGCCUUUGACCUCUGCAAUCGGAGAGAUUGAGGUCUGCAGCGUAGAUCCUUCGGGGUUAGAUACAUUUGUGCUAAGUUAUAGUCCUUUUCAUAGACAACUUGUUGACUAUGAUUGAGUCAUUGUAGCUUACUCGCUUAUGUCUAUUUUACCUACGCUUAGGAUGUUGACAGCAGUAUAGACUGU
rnacentral:rRNA from 1 species